rnacentral:rRNA from 1 species
GACGAACGCUGGCGGCGUGCCUAAUACAUGCAAGUUGAGCGAUGAAGAUUGGUGCUUGCACCAAUUUGAAGAGCAGCGAACGGGUGAGUAACGCGUGGGGAAUCUGCCUUUGAGCGGGGGACAACAUUUGGAAACGAAUGCUAAUACCGCAUAACAACUUUAAACAUAAGUUUUAAGUUUGAAAGAUGCAAUUGCAUCACUCAAAGAUGAUCCCGCGUUGUAUUAGCUAGUUGGUGAGGUAAAGGCUCACCAAGGCGAUGAUACAUAGCCGACCUGAGAGGGUGAUCGGCCACAUUGGGACUGAGACACGGCCCAAACUCCUACGGGAGGCAGCAGUAGGGAAUCUUCGGCAAUGGACGAAAGUCUGACCGAGCAACGCCGCGUGAGUGAAGAAGGGUUUCGGAUCGUAAAACUCUGUUGGUAGAGAAGGACGUUGGUGAGAGUGGAAAGCUCAUCAAGUGACGGUAACUACCCAGAAAGGGACGGCUAACUACGUG